rnacentral:lncRNA from 1 species
ACCAAACUUUGCCGUUUCAUAGAUUAAGUUUUCAUUGUUCUCAUUCUUCAACCCUUCAACGCCAGGAAUCUCUGUUGAUUUUCACAAGUCUGCAAAAACACGUUUCUUUCUCAACUCUUAACCUCCCAACUUUGUUCAUAUACAUAUUUUCGUUUGGGUUUGUUCAACGUAUUCCUCUUUAAUUUGACAAUGAAUUUUUCUUUCCCAUUAAUAAUCUCCAACUCUCCGUCUCCCUUCUCAGACAACGAACACCGUAAAUUCACCUCUCAAAUUCUAUAAAUUAGAGAUGGUUGGGUUGAGAGUAGGAUGAAUCUACACAGAUUCUCUCAGUUUAUCUUCUACCUCAAACCAAGCACCCGUCCACCACUCAACCUUUGAUCCUUUGAUGCUC